AGAGUUAGAUCCUGGCUCAGAAUCAACGCUGGCGGCGUGCCUAAUACAUGCAAGUCGAACGCGAAAACCCCGAAAGGGGUUAGUAGAGUGGCAAACGGGUGAGUAACGCGUGGGCGACCUACCUCAGAGUGGGGGAUAACCUUCCGAAAGGAGGGCUAAUACCGCAUGACAUUCCGUGUUUGGAUACACGGACAUCAAAGCCGGGGAUCGCAAGACCUGGCGCUUGGAGAGGGGCCCGCGUCCGAUUAGCUAGUUGGUGAGGUAACGGCUCACCAAGGCUCCGAUCGGUAUCCGGCCUGAGAGGGCGGACGGACACACUGGAACUGAGACACGGUCCAGACUCCUACGGGAGGCAGCAGUAGGGAAUUGUUCGCAAUGGGCGCAAGCCUGACGACGCAACGCCGCGUGGAGGAUGAAGACUUUCGGGUCGUAAACUCCUUUCGACCGAGAUGAAUACUCUCUUACCUAAUACGUUUGAGAGCUGACAGUAUCGAGGGAAGAAGCCCCGGCUAACUCCGUGCCAGCAGCCGCGGUAAUACGGGGGGGGCAAGCGUUGUUCGGAAUUACUGGGCGUAAAGGGUUCGUAGGUGGCUUUCUAAGUCAGACGUGAAAUCCCUCAGCUUAACUGGGGAACUGCGUCUGAAACUGGCGAGCUUGAGUGCAGGAGAGGAACGCGGAAUUCCAGGUGUAGCGGUGAAAUGCGUAGAUAUCUGGAGGAACACCGGUGGCGAAGGCGGCGUUCUGGACUGUAACUGACACUGAGGAACGAAAGCCAGGGGAGCAAACGGGAUUAGAUACCCCGGUAGUCCUGGCCCUAAACGAUGAAUGCUUGGUGUGGCGGGUAUCGAUCCCUGCCGUGCCGAAGUUAACGCGUUAAGCAUUCCGCCUGGGGAGUACGGUCGCAAGGCUGGAACUCAAAGGAAUUGACGGGGGCCCGCACAGGCGGUGGAGCAUGUGGUUCAAUUCGACUACGCGAAGAACCUUACCUGGGCUCGAAGUGUAGAUGACAAUCGGCGAAAGUCGACUUCCGCAAGGACAUCUGCAGAGGUGCUGCAUGGCUGUCGUCAGCUCGUGUCGUGAGAUGUUGGGUUAAGUCCCGCAACGAGCGCAACCCUUGUUCUCUGUUGCCAUCAGGUAAAGCUGGGCACUCUGAGGAGACUGCCGGUGACAAACCGGAGGAAGGUGGGGAUGACGUCAAGUCAGCAUGGCCUUUAUGUCCAGGGCUACACACGUGCUACAAUGGCCGGUACAAACCGUUGCGAGCCCGCGAGGGGGAGCUAAUCGGAAAAAACCGGUCUCAGUUCGGAUUGCAGGCUGCAACUCGCCUGCAUGAAGUUGGAAUCGCUAGUAAUCGCGGAUCAGCAUGCCGCGGUGAAUACGUUCCCGGGCCUUGUACACACCGCCCGUCACAUCACGAAAGCUGGCUGUACUAGAAAUCGCUGCGUUAACCCGCAAGGGAGACAGGCGCUUAAGGUAUGGUCAGUGAUUGGGGUGAAGUCGUAACAAGGUA
rnacentral:rRNA from 1 species